rnacentral:rRNA from 1 species
UACGUAGGUCCCGAGCGUUGUCCGGAUUUAUUGGGCGUAAAGCGAGCGCAGGUGGUUUAUUAAGUCUGGUGUAAAAGGCAGUGGCUCAACCAUUGUAUGCAUUGGAAACUGGUAGACUUGAGUGCAGGAGAGGAGAGUGGAAUUCCAUGUGUAGCGGUGAAAUGCGUAGAUAUUAGGAGGAACACCAGUGGCGAAGGCGGUCUGCUGGACAGCAACUGACGGUGAGGCGCGAAAGCGUGGGGAGCAAACAGG